CAAGUACCGUGAGGGAAAGUUGAAAAGAACUUUGAGGAGGGAGUUCAUAAGAAUGUGAAGCCGCUAGGAGCUUAAACGGGUGGAACUGCGAAGGAAGAACGAGGGCAUUCACCUCGUCGGGGGGACGGGAACGGGGUGCCCGAGCAGAGAGAGUCGCCAAGAGCAAACCCAAGCGAGCGCCGGGGCACCCCUAGCGGUCCGACAGACAGGUCCUCUUCCCCGGCGGGCGUAUUUGUCUCCUCCAGUAGUAGCACGCAGCGAGCCGUUCCUGCCAAAUUCGCCAGGAGGGCCGGGCUGGACUGGUACCCUCGGUCAGGAGGGAAACCGGCCUGUGCUGCUCGUGGACUGGAGGCCUCGGAGACGGAGGCUUCCAGGGGGUACAUACCAAAACACGCGUGUGGCCCCUCGC
rnacentral:rRNA from 1 species